UCUCCAGCUGUCGGGUGUCAAAGGGGCACUUGUAUUUACGGAAGAAUUUUAUAAAUCUUGAUGCAACAGAAAAGUCUGAAAAGCUGAGUCCUUAGUGAUGAGGGUUUGGAAACAUCCCCGUCUCAACACACACUACAGCUGCCACCUCCCGAUUCUCACUAGAAAAUCACAGUAUGGGUCAACAUUUCUCAUCACCACCUGCUGCAAGUAAAAUAUACAGAUCUACGUUUGCUGUAAGAGAUGCAUCAGAUAUUGGCAAGCAAUUCUACAAGGAACAGGCCAACAGAUAUCCUGCCACAGUAGAGGGGAGUUUCCAGACUGCUAUGUCAGCAGAACAUUCAACUCUUUAUCUAAGUGACAGAGAAAGCAAUUGUAAUACUGUAGCCCAUGCUUAGAACCAAACACUAGAUUUGCAUGAGAAAAUUUAAAACACACAGACCCAAGGAAUAAAGGGUAAAU